UGCAUUGUAAAGUUUCAAUAAUACUACUAAUACCAAUCCAUAACAAAUCUACCCAAGACUGGUGUCACAACUUUACAGACUGUCCAGGAGUACUACAAAUAAAGGCCCGAAAGAAAUAAAUAUAACACUGUCUCUAGAAAUACAUGAAAGAAACAUGAAUAGUAGAUAGAAGGAGAAGCCAAGGCCUGCGGACGCCUGCAGGACUACUUCAGUUAUCCUAAUGAAAAUGAGACAGUAAUCUCACCGCGGCCCGAAGUCUACAGCACGAAGAUCUGCACAAAAGAGUGCAGAGUGUAAUAUCAACACAACCAACCCCAUGUGCUGGUAAGUGCCUAGCCUAACCUCGGCGAAGUAGUGACGAGGCUAGGACAAGACUACCAACUAAACCCGUGUAGUUAAAGUAUAUAUAUAACAAGUAAUGAUAAAGGAACUAGCAGUUAAAGAGGGGAAAGAGACAUGCUAUGGGGGAAUAUCAUUUAUCAACAGUAACUCAGGAGAAAAACAUAAAGAACAAUUUAAAAUUCGCAGCAGAAUAGCAAAUCAAUAUCCACUUUUAUCCUUUAUUAUUGCAGCGCGCAAUCCGAUCCAAAUCAUAAAAUACUGUUGUGGCGUGCAACCCGAUCAAUGUCAUAUAUCAUUGUUGCGAAAUGCAACCCUAUCCCAUCAAAAUAUUGUUGUAGCGUGCAACCCGAUCCAAAUAUAAUAUUGUUGCGGCGUGCAACCCGAUCCAAAUAUAAUAUUUUUGCGGUGUGCAAUCCGAUCCCAAUAUACAAUUAAACACCAAUCACAAAAGAGCCUCGAUAAGAGAACAAUAAGGGAACAACAAUAUCCCGGCAAGUGAAUCAAUAACAUAAAUCAAGUAACAACAGCAAAUCAGUAAAUAAACAUAAAUGACAACAUAACUCAAUUAUCAGCAAGAUUCAGGAAAAUGAAGGACAAGUGCACGACAUCACCCUUCGUGCUUUAACACUCUCUUACCAAAUCAAUAAUCAUAAGAAAUAAGGACAAGGAAAUAAAUGAAAUCACAAUUAGAUCCUGGCAAGGGAACAACAAUACAACAAUUGAAUCCUAGGAAGGGAACAAUAUCAAAAGUCCUCUUCUCUUUUCCUUUUCACAUUUACUUCACAAUUUGAGCCAACGCUCUAUAAGGUUCAAUUGCCAGUUAAAUUUCCACAAUUUAUUUUAUAACUUGAUCCAACUCUCUUCAAAAUUCAAAUACCAAUAUUACUUCCACAAGCCUUGCUCAACUAUAGAAAUCAUCACAAAAGGCAUGAACAAUACAAGCAGAGUCAUAUUAAUCAUAGUAUAAGACCCAUGGGCAUACUUGACACCAACGUAUAGAUACUCGUCAUCAUGCCUAUACGUCGUACUCAAAAUAACACGCAGCAAAUAUGACACAACUCGUAAUUCCUCAAGCUAAGGUUAGACCAAACACUUACCUCGAUGCCACGAACACAAUUCAAGCCUCAACUNNNNNNNNNNNNNNNNNNNNNNNNNNNNNNNNNNNNNNNNNNNNNNNNNNNNNNNNNNNNNNNNNNNNNNNNNNNNNNNNNNNNNNNNNNNNNNNUUCCACCACCAACUCGCUCGUAUCUAGCCNNNNNNNNNNNNNNNNNNNNNNNNNNNNNNNNNNNNNNNNNNNNNNNNNNNNNNNNNNNNNNNNNNNNNNNNNNNNNNNNNNNNNNNNNNNNNNNNNNNNNNNNNNNNNNNNNNNNNNNNNNNNNNNNNNNNNNNNNNNNNNNNNNNNNNNNNNNNNNNNNNNNNNNNNNNNNNNNNNUAGACCAAACACUUACCUCGAUGCCACGAACACAAUUCAAGCCUCAACUAUCGCUUUACCUCUUGAUUCCACCACCAACUCGCUCGUAUCUAGCCACAAGCUACUUAAUUAUAUUAAUAAAUACUAAAUGAAUCAAUUAUAAUGGUUGGAAAUAGGUUUUCUAAAGUUUUUCCCAAGAAGUAAAAAAUCGACCCGGACUUUCUUGGUCCAAACCCGAAAUUCGGACCAAAAACCGAUCACCCUUUCACCCCGAGCCCGGAUAUAUAAUUGGUUUUGGAAUUUAACCUCAAUUUGAGGUCUAACACCCCAAAUUUCAAUAUUAAUGUAUUUUUCCCAAAAUUCCCAAUUCCACCAUGAAAACACUAGGUUCUAAGACGAAAUCUUGUAAAAAGAAGUUAAAGAGUAAAGAAAAUGAGUUAGAAAUCAUAAACCAAUAUUUUGGAGAAGAGAGGUUGUUUGAAAAACCGUCUCUUAUGUUUUUGAGGUUUUGAAAAAUGAAAAAUAACUGAAAAUACCAUUUAAAUAUACCCCUCUCAGACCCCUGUGCGGACCGCACAAAAAGGAUUGCGGCCGCGGAGCUCUCCAUAUGGACUGCAGUAACAUGCUUUAGUGUUUUGGCCAUAACUUUCUCUACAGAUGUAUAAAUUAUGAUUUCUUUACCUUUCUGGAAACUAUACACGAAGGGAUACAACUUUUUUUUUAAUCAUCUCAAAAUUCCUUGUAGAUAAAAAAUAUAGGCUUCCGAAGUCGAACCAGUGUACCUGUGCGGACUGCACAAAAUCGAAUGCGGACGCAAGGCCUUCAUUGCGGACAUCACAAAACCAAUGCGAACCGACUGGAAGGUUCAGAGAUUUGCACUUCUCUGAACCUGCAACAUCUAUAUUUUAAGCCUAAGAUAUUUUGGAACCUACCCGAAACUCACCCGAGCCCUCGGGUCUCCAGACCAAGUGUGCAUACUAACUCAGAAACAUCAUAUGGACCUACUCAUGUGAUCACAUCAUUAAAAUAACGUAUAAAACCAUGAAUUAAACCUGAAAACUCAUCAUUUUGAUCAAGGACACUUAAAGUUCAUAACUAUUCAAUCGGAAGUCCAACUCACGUCAAAUAUACUCCAUUUUCACCAAAUUUCACAGUUAUCAUUCAAAUACUAUAACAAGUUUGUACCGGGCUUCGGAACCAAAAUACGAGUAUGAUACCAAUGGUUUCAUACAUUAAUUUUUUCUUCAUUUCUUAGAUAACUCAGCAAAACAAUUUCAUUCAAAAAUUGAUUUCUAAGGCUUAGGACAUCAUAAUUCAUUUUUAGGCAUACGCCGAAGUCUCAUAUUUUACUGAGGACCUCCCAGGAUCAUCAGAACACGGAUUCGGAUAUGUUUGCUCAAAAUAUUGACCAAAGUCAACUAAAUCAAAAUUUUAACUCUAGAAAUUUUCUUUUUCUCAUCUUUUCACAUAUAAGAGUUUCUAGAUAUAGGUCCGGACCAUGCACACAAAUCAAGGUGAGGUAAAAGGGAGGAUUUUAGGCCUUGGAACAUUGAAUUUGUUUCUAAAACAAGUGAUGACCUUUUAGGUCAUCACAUCCUCCACAUCUAAAACAACUGUUCGUCCUCGAACGGACAUAAGAAGGAAGUACCUGAGUCAAGAAAAAGAUGGGGAUAACGGCUCCGCAUAUCGGACUCGGAUUCCCAGGUUGAUCCUCAGAAGGGUGACCUCUCCACUGAACACGAACAUAAGGGAAAUUCUUUGACCUCAAUUAAUGAACCUGCCGGUCUAGAAUAGCUAUUGCCUCUUCUUCAUAUGAAAAGUCCUUAUCCAACUGGACAGUGCUGAAGUCUAACACGUGAGAUGGAUCGCCAUGAUACUUUCGAAGCAUGGACACAUGAAACAUUGGAUGUAAGCCUGUAAGCCACUUGCCCAACUCGAUCAAGAAUCACAAAUGGGCCAAUGAACCUAGGCCUUAGCUUGCCCCUCUUCCUAAAUCUCAUCAUGCCCUUCAUAAGCGACAUCUGAAGAAAUACCCUCACCGAUCAUGAAUGCCAAAUCUUGAACCUUACGGUCGACAUAACUCUUUUGCCUGGACUGACCUGUACGAAGCCUAUUUUGAAUAAUCCUGACCUCGUCCAAGGCAUCCUAUACUAGAUCCGUACCCAAUAACCGAGCCUUUUCCGGCUCAAACCAUCCAACCGACGACCGACAUCGCCUACCAUACAAAGCCUUUUAAGGAGCCAUCUGUAUACUUGAUUGGUAGCUGUUGUUGUAGGCAAACUUUGCUAAAGGCAAAAACUGAUCCCACGAUCGUCAAAAGUCAAUGACAAAAUCUCGGUGCAUAUCCUCCAAAAUCUGAAUAGUCCGCUCGGACUCCCCGUUCGUCUGAGGGUGAAACAUUGUGCUGAACUCAACCCUUGUGCCCAACUCUCACAGCACUGCUCUCCAAAAAAAUGUGAGGUAAACUGCGUACCUCGAUCCGAAAUGAUAGACACAGGCACACUAUGAAGAUAAAUAAUCUCCUAGAUAUAGAUCUAGCUAACCCCCCGGAAGAAUAGGAGACUGCCAUAUGAAUGAAAGGUGCUGACUUGGUCAGCCUAUUAAGAAUAACCCACACUGCAUCGAACUUCCUCUAAGUGGGAGUCCAACAAUGAAGUCCAUAGUGAUAUGCUCCCACUUUCACUCAGGAAUCUCAAUCUUCUGGAACAAACCAUCGGGCCUCUGAUGCUCGUACUUAACCUGCUGACAGUUCAAACACCGAGCCACAUGUGCAACAAUAUCCUUCUUCAUUCUCCGCCACCAAUAAUGCUUCAGCAAAUCCUGAUACAUCUUAGCAGCACCCAGAUAAAUAGAGUACCGCGAACUAUGUGCUUCCUCUAAAAUAAACUCUCGGAGCCCAUCCACAUUAGACACACAAAAUUGACCCAGCAAUCUUAAAACUCUAUCAUCACCGCACCUUCGCUCUGCACCAGGUCUCUAAGGACACAUAAAUAAGGAUCAUCAAAAUGCCGAUCUCGGAUGCGCUCCAAUAAUGAAGAACGAGCGACUAGGCAAGCUAAUUCACGGCUGGGGUCAGAAACAUCCAACCUCACGAACUGAUUGGCCAAAGCUUGAACUUCCAAAGCAAUCGGUCUCUCACCGAUCGGAAUAUAAGCAAGACUGCCCAUACUGGCUGACUUCUUACUCAAAGCAUCGUCUACCACAUCGGCCUUUCCCGGAUGAUAUAAGAUGGUGAUAUCAUAGUCUUUCAAUAGCUCCAACCACCUUAUUUGCCUCAAGUUUAGCUCCUUCUUCUUGAACACUUACUACUGUCUAUUGUGAUAUGUGAACACCUUACCUGCCACGUGUCACACCUCCUUUUUCACUACACCCCCAGAAGGGUGUGUAAGAGAGUCUUUUCCAACUUAAAGUGAUAAUCUAAACAUGAUUAUUUAUUUAUUAAAUUCAGAGUCGCCAUUUGGGAUAAUCACGGUGUCCCAAGUCACCAGUUCAAAUCUCGAAUCAGGGAAAAGAUUGACUCUGUUUUACAGUCGGCGAACAUAGAAAUUCGGGUAAUGAUUUCUGUUAACCUGGGAGAAGGUGUUAGGCAUUUCCGUGUUCCGUGGUUCUAGCACAGUCGCUUAGCAAUUUAUACUUGGCUUAAUUGUUCAAAUACCCAUUUUUAGGACCUAUGUUCAUUUACCCUUUUUAACCGCUUUUAAUCACUUGAUUUAUUCGUAAUUAAAGAAUUGCGUUACACAUACAUAUACUCUUUUUUUUGGCGCAUAAAAAAUUAUGUCACGCGAACGUGUCCACAAUUAAUAAAGCUUUGUUUAUUUUUAAGAAAAGUUUGUCCGAAGUAACGCAAAUGCAUACUCCGAUUUUAUUUCUAGAAAUCGGAGUCAUGUCAAACGUACGUGUCCACAAUAACAACAAUAUAUUAAGUCACGCCUAAAGUAAGCUAUAAAUAUUCAUGAAUAUUAACAGCCUAAGCAUGCUCCAAGCGGGUAUGGGAGAAAAAUAAAAUAACACUAAAAUAGACAAAGAUAUUUCAUGCUCAUGUUCAAACUGAAAUCAAUCAUUGGCAAUUAACUCACUUUUUUUAAAAAAAAAUUCUCUUUUCUUUAAAAGCUAAUACAUGAUUUCAACAUGGAACACUAAGUGAUGAAUAAUGCAUAUAUAGAAGUUAGAUCCUUUAAAAUUCUUUCCAACAGUAAUAUCUCUUGUUAAUGUAGAUGGGUCAUAUAAUGCGUACAAUUUUACAGUCAAUUCAAAAUUUGAGGUCGGUGACGAAGCUUCUCUUUCUUGUUCCUAUUUCAUUUCCUUGUAGUUAAACCUUUAUAGGGUUUCUUUGCAGCCUCCAUUCUUUUAUCUCUUCAGGCCUUCAAACUUAUUUACUCUAUAUGGACAACUAAUUAAUCUCCGCUCCUAGAAUCUUGAAUUUCUUUUUUUUAAUGAACCAAUAGGUAGAAAACCUCGCAAGAACUGUUGAGGAACUGAGGAGAUUACUUAGAGGAAAUAACAACACAUUACAAUGUCCAUUUGAGCAAGUGAAUUAUCUUCUCAGGAUUAGAAAGCAAUGACAACUCAAUAACUGAUUAUUACUUGACUCAUUCACAAUACAUACCACAAACCUAUGCUAUAACGCCUCUUCGAGAUUAUUGCAGGCAACUAUCGGUUAGUGGAUGAAACUUAUACCAACUAAAUGGUCAAUAAACCAGCUCAAACAAAUAAUGUAAUUUCACCUAAGAUCAAAAUUCCUUCUCAAGAAAUCACAUGCAUUAGCAAUCUACACAAAAAUUCAUUCAUACAACAAAUAAAUAACAGAUUAGGUAAAGUAGUAGACCUUCAAAAGCUUUCUUCACUAAAAUGAUCCUUCGGCAAAACUUUGCAGCAUUGGCUAUUUGACGAGAGCAAAGACAAAAAUCGAUGCCGGAAAACUCGCACACGAACUCGACAAAUUCGUGAAUCUUCCGAAAACCUCAUACUAUGACCUCAAACGACUUCAACACCCCCGACCUUGAUACCCACGACAGAAAUAAAUUUACUGAAGGUAGGUGACAAUUGCGAUGCAUUUUGGAUAGGUAAUCGAUUACCUUCGGCCUAGUCGAAUUUGAAUCCUUAGGAUUCGCUAGAGCUAUACAUACAUUAUGUAAGUGUAGAUAGGUUGAGAGAGAUUGAUCCAGGGAGGAAGAAGAUCUGUGUGUCUUUAGGUUGAUAGAAAAAGAGGGACCAAAAUCUAAAGGAGGGAACGGCGUGUUCUCUUUUG
rnacentral:lncRNA from 1 species